rnacentral:rRNA from 1 species
AUUGAACGCUGGCGGAAUGCUUUACACAUGCAAGUCGAACGGCAGCACGGGGGCAGCCCUGGUGGCGAGUGGCGAACGGGUGAGUAAUACAUCGGAACGUGCCCGGUCGUGGGGGAUAACGUAGCGAAAGUUACGCUAAUACCGCAUCCGAUCUGAGGAUGAAAGCGGGGGACCUUCGGGCCUCGCGCGAUCGGAGCGGCCGAUGUCAGAUUAGGUAGUUGGUGGGGUAAAGGCCUACCAAGCCGCCGAUCUGUAGCUGGUCUGAGAGGACGACCAGCCACACUGGGACUGAGACACGGCCCAGACUCCUACGGGAGGCAGCAGUGGGGAAUUUUGGACAAUGGGCGCAAGCCUGAUCCAGCCAUUCCGCGUGCAGGACGAAGGCCUUCGGGUUGUAAACUGCUUUUGUACGGAACGAAAAGGCUCUGGCUAAUACCUGGGGCUCAUGACGGUACCGUAAGAAUAAGCACCGGCUAACUACGUG